rnacentral:snRNA from 1 species
GUUCUCAUUUAGGCAGCACAUAUGCUAAAAUUGGGAUAAUACAGAGAUUAGCAUGACCCUGCUGCAAGGGUGGAAUAGAAAUUCGUGAAGCAUUCCUAUCUAAA